rnacentral:rRNA from 1 species
UACGUAGGGAGCAAGCGUUGUCCGGAAUCAUUGGGCGUAAAGCGCGCGUAGGCGGCUCGGCACGUCCGUUGUGAAAUCGCUCGGCUCAACUGGGCGAGGUCAGCGGAUACGGUCGAGCUUGAGCCAGCUAGGGGGGCAAUGGAAUUCCCCGGUGUAGUGGUGGAAUGCGUAGAUAUCGGGAGGAACACCAGUGGCGAAGGCGGUUGCCUGGGGCUGUGCUGACGCUGAUGCGCGAAAGCGUGGGGAGCGAUCCGG